rnacentral:rRNA from 1 species
GGGCCAGACUCCUACGGGAGGCAGCAGUGAGGAAUAUUGGUCAAUGGGCUUACGCCUGAACCAGCCAAGUCGCGUGAGGGAAGACUGCCCUAUGGGUUGUAAACCUCUUUUGUCAGGGAGCAACGCCGGCUACGUGUAGCCGGACUGAGAGUACCUGUAGAAUAAGCUCCGGCUAACUACGUGCCAGCAGCCGCGGUAAUACGUAGGGAGCAAGCGUUAUCCGGAAUUAUUGGGUGUAAAGGGUGCGUAGACGGGACAGCAAGUUAGUUGUGAAAGCCCUCGGCUUAACUGAGGAACUGCAACUAAAACUAUUGUUCUUGAGUGCAGGAGAGGAAAGCGGAAUUCCUAGUGUAGCGGUGAAAUGCGUAGAUAUUAGGAGGAACACCAGUGGCGAAGGCGGCUUUCUGGACUGUAACUGACGUUGAGGCACGAAAGUGUGGGGAGCAAACAGGAUUAGAUACCCUCGUAA